UGUCUAACAUGUGAUCGCGUUUCUUAAAUGCGUCCUCUAACUGUGGUGGUGUAACUGGCCCUUUACCUCCAAAAUAUAAAUCCAAUAACCUUUUAUUUCGUAUAAUACGGGCUCUAACUUCUUCUUCCCCGGUACAUCUCAAGCCCGUAAUCAGGGCAAAUUCAAGGAUCGAGAAUCUACAUACCUUCCCGUCCCCAAUAGCAAAAUAUAACUGAUCGCCAUCGACUGAUUUAAACAGCCGGAGUAAUAAAGAAUCAAC
rnacentral:lncRNA from 1 species